rnacentral:rRNA from 1 species
AAGGGCACCACAAGAACGCGUGGAGCAUGUGGCUUAAUUUGACUCAACGCGGGAAAUCUUACCGGGUCCGGACACACUGAGGAUUGACAGGCAAUAUCUAAAUCGUUUAUAAUUCCUAUUAUAAUACGUAUUUAGUGUUAAAUAUGCUAGUCCUUUCAUGAUUAUGUGAUAGGUGGUGCAUGGCCGUUCUUAGUUCGUGGAGUGAUCUGUCUGCUUAAUUGCGUUUCACUAAGGGCCCAUAAAUUCAAGGUAUGUUAGCUAUCGUUUCUCAAUUGACCCCUUGUCUUCGAUAAGCGCGUGUCUUUUAGAGUUUAAACAUUGCGCAUGCUGUUGGGUCCUGAAAGCAACGAACGUGACCGCAACGUCUUAUUGCCUUUAUCUUGUUAUAUUCUAAUUUAAUUAAAAAUAGCUAACAGAGGCUAAUUUAAAAUUAGACGGACCGCUGUACUUUUCUUAAACCAGAGGAAGGUUGCGGCAAUAACAGGUCUGUGAUGCCCUUAGAUGUUCCGGGCUGCACACGUGCUACAAUGAUCAGUACAGUGAGCAUCUCAAUAUUAUACACCGUAUUAAGCGCUUGGUUGCGAUUAUUGGCUCAUUAUUGGGUCUUUUAAUUGUAUUUCCAAUGCGCGCGGUAAAGCCUGCUUCGAGAGUAAGUGGGUAAUCCAUUGGAAGUAAUGAUUUCUCUUUUUAUAGCACACCUAUAUACGGCAUUCAUUCCCGGGACGACUAGUUUCGUCUUUUUUGUGCGAAUGUAAUGUAUUCUUUAUCCGUAUGUGCGAUUGUCAAUUCAUGGUGGGGACAGACCAUUGUUAAUUGUUGGUCUCGGUCUUAACUAGGAAUGCCUUGUACGGGUCUUUGGUUCAACAAACCACCCGGAAUACGUCCCUGCCCUUUGUACACACCGCCCGUCGCUCUUACCGAUGAACUUCUUUGUGAGUCUAAGGGACUGGGUUAAUCUGUAAUUCUAUUAUGGAUAUACCUAUGGAAACUUAUACGAACAAUGUGGUUUAAAGGAAAGAGAAGUCGUAACAAGGCAUCA